rnacentral:rRNA from 1 species
CCUACGGGUGGCAGCAGUGGGGAAUAUUGCACAAUGGAGGGAACCCUGAUGCAGCGACGCCGCGUGGGUGAGGAAGUCCUUCGGUAUGUAAAGCCCUAUCAGCAGGGAAGAAAAUGACGGUACCUGACUAAGAAGCCCCGGCUAACUACGUGCCAGCAGCCGCGGUAAUACGUAGGGGGCAAGCGUUAUCCGGAUUUACUGGGUGUAACGGGAGCGUAGACGGCGUGGCAAGUCAGAGGUGAAAGGCCGGGGCUCAACCCCGUGAAUGCAGUGGAUACUGGCAUGCUGGAGUGCCGAAAGGGCAAGCGGAAUGCCUAGUGUAGCGGGGAAAUGCGUAGAUAUUAGGAGGAACACCGGUGGCGAAGGCGGGUUGCUGGACGGUAACUGACGUUGAGGCUCGAAAGCGUGGGGAGCAAACAGGAUUAGAUACCCCUGUAGUC